rnacentral:lncRNA from 1 species
UUUAUCCGCAUCAUUUUGUUUCCUCAGUCAGUACUAUAUAAAUGUUUUAAACUAACAAAAGUAGUUUUACAGUUUCUUUUAAUGCUACUGUUUUAUAUAUCGUAGUAUAUAUGAAAAUGAUACGUGUGUUUGUUUUAUAAGCAUUUUCUUCCUAGGUUCAAAGGAGAGAACCUGGACAGGAACAAGAGUAUUUAUUUUCGCAUAGAGAACCUUGCCAACAAGUACAAUUGCACUUCUGCUCAACUAGCCCUAGCAUGGGUUCUCGGACAGGGGGAUGAUGUCGUACCUAUUCCCGGUAACUUCUUUCUUUCGAGUUUGUGAUUCAUGUAGUGCCUUGAAGAAGUAUAUAGAGUUUAAAAAACCCAGUGGAUAAAAUGAUAUUACCAGCGAUAUUACUUACUGUUAAGUUGCUUCAAUUUUCAGGGACAACUAAGAUGAAAAACCUUGAUGACAAUAUUGACUCCUUGAGGAUUAAACUUACAAAAGAGGAUCUGAAAGAAAUUUCUGACGCUGUGCCCAUAGAAGAGGUAGCAGGAAACAGAGACCCGGAAGGCUUUGAUAAAGCAUCGUGGAAGUUUGCAAACACACCUCCAAAAGACUGCAAGGUUUGAACUUAAAAUAGUUCUUGAUGCUGCCUAUCUUACUUGGGGCUGGGAUGCAAUACUUUAUUCAAAUAAUGGCAGAUAAAUGCCAAAUUAUCUGUACAAUCUACUACUUGGCUAUCUGCCUAUUUGAUGUUAAACUUUGAUUAUUAUGAUCUACUAUAUGUUUGGAAAUUUAGCAUGGCCAAUUUGUGAAAGGAAAAUACGCAUGUUUGAACUUUUCUAAGUUAAAGCUGAAUUCCAAGUUACUGUAAAAUCUUGCCAACUUGCUUUCCUUGAAAAUAAAGAUUAGAAAUAUCCAAAUUUUGGAUUGUAAUGAUUUUCCUGGAUUUUACUUCAUCAUAGUGUAGAUAUAUGUUGAAAUAUUUUCAGCCUUUUUGAGUUCCACGAAUGUGACAUGAAUGAAAUCUGUGAACCAUAUUUUAGCUCAAGCUGUUUCUCAACAAGACCUGGAGGACACUGGAUUGAAAAUAUAGUUUCUCAACAUACUACAUUGUCACUGCAACUUGAGUGGUUAAAUGAUAAAAGGUGAGUAUGUGUUGUUCAGAAAUAAGAAUAAUUGCAUAAAUUGUGAAGUUCACAAUACCAUUCAGGAGGCUAAAUUGACACAUUAAAAAACUUUCAAAUUCCUUCACCAACAAGGCACCAGUGGUCUUGUGGUAGAAUAAUACCCUGCCACGUAACAGACCCAGGUAUAGUAAUUAGCCCCACCUUCGAACACUUUUUAUUGUUGCCUUCUUUUGAUUAGUUCCAAAUCCUGCUUUAUUUUGUUAGUCCAUGGUACAAAGUACAAAACAGCAACACCAUUAACUCUCUUACGCCCUCCUUUAAUAAGAGUUAAGCUAAGCUACAAAGAGAGGAAAAGCUAACAGCUUUUCCAAAGAUGGCAGAAAAGAACAGAAUCCAAGUUCCAAGAGUGAAAUUUGGAUUUCCGAUUUGUAGUUUUCAUUUUUCUUUUUGUAUUUUUUUUCCUUCAAUGCUGAUAAUUUGUUUUCUCUGACUGUGUUUUUGUGCUUUCACAGGUUUCAAAGCUGGGCUUUGGAUGCAUGAGCCUGAGCGGAGGUUACAAUUCUCGGGUCUCUGAAGAGGAUGGCAUCUCAAUAAUGAAGCAUGCUUUCAACGAAGGAAUCACUUUCUUUGAUACUGCUGAUAGAUAUGGACCAUAUAUACUAAUGAAAUUCUUCUUAGAAAGGUAAUGAUUAUGAAAAUGGAAUAAAAUGAAGUUAUCUUAUCAUGGAAUAACAUUUUAAAAGAAAAUCCAAAAUAAAAAUAGGUUAUGUUUAUGCCAAAAUUUUAAAUAAAAAAAUAUAAAUUAGUAAUUAAAUUAACUUAACAAGGAUAAUGUUGCCGUAUUACACACAAAAAUAUAUUUUAUUUUGAUGAAUAUUUAACGUUUGUAAAAUAAAUUAAAUUAAUUAGGAGUAAUAUGGACUUCUUAUUAUAAAAUAACUUAAAUUGUUAGGGUAAGAGUUGAUUGUAGCAUUAUUAAAUUUAAAGGCGUAACUAGUAUUUCUAACUUAUGCUUGAGGAUGGAAUCUGUAAUUUUUCCAUGCAAAUAAGAAAUGUGUUUGUUUAAGGUAUUGGUAAAUAGCUACUCUUAGACAUUACUAAGAAAAUCAUAAGGUGGAAAUCAAAUCAUUGUUAAAAUUAUGUCAAUUUAUUUGGGGGGGAAAAAGUUCACUCCUUUCUAGUUUCUAGCCUUGAAGCAGUUGCCUAGGUUACAAGAUCAGCCACAAAGUUUGGGAUUACAGAAAUAGAUACCCCUGAGUAUGUACUCUGUUUUGUCGUGAAGCAAGCUUGAAGCACCUUGAUUUGAUUAUUAAUUGGUUUGACUUUCCUCUAAUCUUUUGGGUAAUUUCUAUAUAUGCUUUCACUAAAAACAAAUAAAUUUGCAAAGAAUACAUACAUAGAUAACUUUCUUUCAAAAUAAAAAUGAAAAAAAAAUGACGAAGAGAAAUUAUGAAUAUGAUGAUUCUUUUAAAAAAAAACUAUUAAUUGGUUUGACUUUCCUCUAAUAUUUUGGGUAAUUUCUAUAUAAGCUUUCACUAAAAACAAAUAAAUUUGCAAAGAAUACAUACAUAGAUAACUUUCUUUCAAAAUUUAAAAUAAAUAAAAAAUGACAAGGAGAAAUUAUGAAUAUGAUGAUUCUUUAAAUAAAAAAUUUUACUGAUUUUCUAACAGCACAAAAUGCUUGAGAGGAAGAGAUUCUCAUAAAUCAAAUGUGAAAGGAUUAUGUUACCAUAAUAUAAAUAUGAAAAUGAAUUUUUCAUUUCUACUUAGAGCCUUGGGCCCAAACAAUUUUUUUUUUCAAGUAUAAUACUUGAAUAGUUCCAACAAAUGAUCGGACUAAUGACAUACACAAUACUUGAAUUUUCAGUAUAGAUUUAUAUUGAUGCAACAAAAUUGAUUCUCAUCUUCAUAGGCUAAGAAAUACAAAUCCAUUACUCAACUAAAAUUAUGGCGCAGAAGUUUUUGUUUUUGUUAAGGUUAAAAAAUGAGCAUAAAAGUAUACAUUUAACUAAUAAAUAAUUAGAAAAUUGAUAAAAUUAUUAAUUUUUUUUAGAAAAUUGAUUGAACUAGUCUGCAACAUUAAGUUUCAACAUAUCGUCCAAGGAUAGCCUAGCCAAGUUGGUAGCAAGAGAUUAAAUGUUCCAAUUUAAGGGGAUAUUCAUAGAUGUAAUCUGAAACAAAAAUGAAAUAAAAGUAAAAAUAAGCAAAUAAUAAAGUAAAAUCAGAAUCGAAUAAGAAUGCUAAGUUUUUAAAGAGGAGAGAAAUUACAAGUUAAGACAAGUUCUUCUUUCUUUGCAAACACACCCCUAAAAGAUUGCUAGGUUUGAACUCAAAAUAUUUCUUGAUGCUGCCUUAGUAGCUAUCUAACGCUUGGGGUCGGGAUCAAUACUUUAUUCAAAUAAAUGCUAAAUUAUCAAUAAAUUCUACUACAUGACUCUCUGCCUAUUGGAUGGUAAUUUGUAAAUUUAAUUCUGCCGAUUUUGUGAACUGAAAUUAUCUUUCGUUGUUAACUAGAAGUUAUAGCCUCAAGUUGCAAUAAAAUUUUGGCAAAUAGAGAUUGCAAAAUCCACCAGGAAAAUGCAGGGUGGCUUUUAUGUAUUUUAAUUCAGAUUGCUAUGUUGUUGCUACAUAACUACCAUGUACCGAAUCAAAUGUAAACGCUUAAGGCUAUUUCUAGUAAAUAAUCUCCUAAAUUAAAAGAUGAAUUUGUUCCUACCUCCUUUUGGAGUUUUGGGUUCUGAUGCAGUGACUAUUCAAAUAUUGUUCUAAAAAAUUUAGAUACUUGACAUUCAAACUAUUAUGAAUAGUUAAUGGUCUUUACAUUGCUUGUAUUAUGAGGUCGGCAUGAGCCCUCAAUCAAAGAAGACACAAAGCCAUUGCAUUUGCAUUCAAGGGUAACAUAGGAGCCUAAAAUUUGCCACAAGAACAAAUAGAAACUACGGAAUAUACACUAUUGUGUUCAAAAUUCGUUCAAUUAAAAUAACGUUGUGGCACGUAUAUAAUUUAUGUUAUUAGAGAAAGUUUUUGAUGAGACUAACAUACCAUGUUAUCAUACGUUUAUCCAAUAGAAUUGUAACAUAUAUCCAUUUUGAAGUUGACCAACCAUGAAAGUGAGAGGAAACAAAAUUAAAACUUGGUGACACAAAAUAUAUUAUAUGGUCAAAUCGAGACUGUAAAUUUCUCUCCUAAGUUCUACCUGACAUUUUGCAAAGUCUAGGGGAUGUUUCUUAACUUUUAAAAUAUUUUGAACUUGUUUCCAAUUACACUGAACUUUGGGACACUUGUCAAAACGUUAUAAGUUCCUGAUUAAUCAUUGAUAACGAUAAAGAGCACGUGUCCCAGCUUAACACUUUUAGUCAUACGGAGCCGUCGAGUUGGAUAAGCCAAACCAGAAUCCUGUGUCUCAUUCUCCUCAUUGUUGACGUUAGAGUCAGCUGUCUCUCUACUUAUUGAAACUUGAAAGACACCCAAAACAAAGAAACCAAAACUACAGCUUCAAAAAUGGCAGAAGAGAAACUCCAAGUUCCAAGGGUGAAACUUGGUACCCAAGGCCUCGAGGUAAACUACCCAUAUGUAAUUUUUUUUUUAAAUCAAAUCCUGGAAAUUUGUUUUCUACAAUUGUGUGUUUUUCACGCUCUUACAGGUUUCAAAGUUGGGGCUUGGAUGCAUGAACCUGAGUGGAGGUUAUAGCUCUCCAGUCUCAGAAGAUGAUGGCAUCUCAAUGAUAAAACAUGCUUUCAGUAGAGGAAUCACUUUCUUUGAUACUGCUGAUAUGUACGGACAAAAUGCUAAUGAAAUUCUUCUGGGAAAGGUUAUGGUCAUUUCUUUGAAUUCUCUUACCUCUUAUAUAAUUCAGACAUAGGUCAAGUGGUAACUUAAGAAUCACAGUCCUGAUGAAAUAUGUUUGUUUAAGAAUUGGUGAAUAAUUACUUUUGUAUCAUAGAAGGAAAGCCUGGUCAGAUUUUUUUGAAUCUUAUUCCUUCGAUUUCAGGCCUUCAAGAUGUUGCCCAGAGAAAAGGUACAAAUAGCCACAAAGUUUGGGGUUGUAGGACUAAGAGAUAAUGGCGUGAUCGUGAAGGGCACCCCUGAUUACGUGCGCUCGUGUUGUGAAGCUAGCUUGAAGCGACUUGAUGUGGAUUACAUUGAUCUAUAUUAUCAACAUAGAGUGGACACAUCAGUCCCCAUAGAGGAAACCGUGAGCGAUUUGUUUUUUUUUUUUAUUUUUUUUUUUGGGCUAUCUGAAUUGUAGAGUUCUGUCCCAAAUUUCAAAAUUUAAAGAAUUAUUUUAGAAACUCUAUUACUUGUCAUGCUAUAGGUUGGCGAAAUGAAGAAGCUGGUGGAAGAGGGUAAAAUCAAGUACAUUGGAUUAUCUGAGGCCAGCCCAGACACAAUUAGGAGGGCACAUGCUGUUCAUCCCAUCACAGCUGUACAAAUGGAAUGGUCCCUCUGGACUCGUGAUAUUGAGGAAGAGAUAAUACCCCUCUGCAGGUUUGUUCUUCUUUUAGUGAACACUAUCCGCAUUAGUCUUUUCUUCUACAGGCCUUUGAAGGGUGUCUAAGGACCUAUUUAUUUGUUCCAAUCUAGUAUUUUGUACCUAAUGUUUGUAGAAUUUUUUAAAUUUAAUUGCAUGCAUAGAGUAGAUUAGAUUUUCUGUGCAAGUGUAUGCUAAUAAAUACAAGGCUGCCCUUCUGAUACAUUGAGGUGGGCAGGGAACUCGGCAUUGGAAUAGUUCCAUACAGUCCUCUUGGUCAUGGAUUUUUUGGUGGCAAAGCUGUUGUGGAGAGUGUACCUGCAGAUAGCUUUUUGGUACUUUUUCCAAUCAAUGUUUAUCCGCAUCAUUUUGUUUCGUAAGUCAGUACUAUAUAAAAUGUUUUAAACUAGCAAAAGUAGUUUUACAGUUUCUUUAACUGUUUUAUAUAUCGUCGUACAUAUGAAAAUGAUAUGUGUGUUUGUUUUAUAAGCAUUUUCUUCCUAGGUUCAAAGGAGAGAACCUGGACAGGAACAAGAGUAUUUAUUUUCGCAUAGAGAACCUUGCCAAAAAGUACAAUUGCACUUCUGCUCAACUAGCCCUAGCAUGGGUUCUUGGACAGGGGGAUGAUGUCGUACCUAUUCCCGGUAACUUCUUUCUUUCGAGUUUUUGAUUCAUGUAUUGCCUUGAAGAAGUAUAUAGAGUUUAAAAAACCCAGCGGAUAAAAUGAUAUUACCAGCAAUAUUACUUACUGUUAAGUUGCUUCAAUUUUCAGGGACAACUAAGAUUAAAAACCUUGAUGACAAUAUUGACUCCUUGAGGAUUAAACUUACAAAAGAGGAUCUGAAAGAAAUUUCUGACGCUGUGCCCGUAGAAGAGGUAGCAGGAGACAGAGACCCGGAAGGCUUUGAUAAAGCAUCGUGGAAGUUUGCAAACACACCUCCAAAAGACUGCAAGGUUUGAACUUAAAAUAGUUCUUGAUGCUGCCUAUCUUACUUGGAGCUGGGAUGCAAUAGUUUAUUCAAAUAAUGGCAGAUAAAUGCCAAAUUAUCUGUACAAUCUACGACUUGGCUAUCUGCCUAUUUGAUGUUAAACUUUGAUUAUUACGAUCUACUAUAUGUUUGGAAAUUUAGCAUGGCCAAUUUGUGAAAUGAAAAUAUGCAUGUUUGAACUUUUCUAAGUUAAAGCUGAAUUCCAAGUUACUAUAAAAGCUUGCCAACUCUCUUUCCUUGAAAAUAAAGAUUGGAAAUAUCCAAAUUUUGGAUUGUAACAAUUUGCUUGGAUUUUACUUCAUCAUUGUAUGGAUAUAUGUUGAAAAAUUUUCAGCGUUUUUGAGUUCCAUGAAUGGGACAUGAAUGAAAUCUAUGAACCAUAUCUUAGCUAGCAGUUUCUCAACAAGACCUGGAGGAUACUUUAUUGAAAAUAUAGUUUCUCAACAUAAUACAUUGUCACUGCAACUUGAGUGGUUAAAUGAUAAAAGGUGAAUAUGUGUUGUUCAGAAAUAAGAAUAAUUGCAUAAAUUGUGAAGUUAACAAUUGCUAUUUAGGAGGCUCAAUUGACACAUUGAUAAACUUUCUAAUUCCUUUAGCAACAAGGCACCAGUGGUCCAGCGGUAGAAACAACCCCCCACCCCCCGGCGGGCGGGUAUAGUAAUCAGCCCCAACGUCGAACAAUUUUUAUUGCUGCCUUCUUUUGAUUAGUUCCAAAUCCUGCUUUAUUUUGUUAGUCCAUGGUACAAAGUACAAAACAGCAACGGGUAAUUUUUAGGGAUCUCCCUUGAGGUUUAGCGUAUUAACACAUAGAGCGAAUAUAUCCACUUAAUUACAAGCACCUCCCCUUCCGUUAGUAUUUAAAUACGUAUGGUAUCAGUAUAUAAGGGUAAAUAUGUAAAAAUAUAUUUAAAAUUCAAAAAAAUUCAAAAGUGCAGCUUUAUGUUUCUUGAUGUUCUGAGAUAAUCUGAAAAAAUUGUAAGGGUUUAGAACGGUGGAGUAAUCGUCGUUUAAAUGAAUGAUAUGUCAUCUAUGCGUUGUAUGAGGUUAUAGCAACUAUCUAUCUGGUCACCGUUUUCAAGUCUCAAUUGGUAGUCCAAAGAAAAGAAUGAUUCUACAGUAGCAUUAAGUGUUAAUUGGACACAAAAAGAAGUGUUUUAACCACUUUAAGGAAAAUAAAUGUAAUUUUCUGUCCUAAAGAAAAGGUAAAUGUAUGCACUGUCAAUUAAUCUUUGGUCGACCAACAACAUCAUAAUUUCGCCUGGAUUGGUGGCGCACAAAGAAAGCCCUGAACUGGGGUCCUGACGACGGCCUAGAUCUCAUCGUCGACGAUGAUGGUGACGCCACAUUGUUGAUCCAUGAGGGAGUCAAAGCCGCUGUUGUUUGCGGUUAUGGUGAUGUUGGCAAGGGUUAUGCUGCUACUUUGAAGCAAGCCGGUGCUCGUGUAAUUGUUACCGAGAUUGAUAUGUACUACGAUGAUCUGUACGAGGAUGUUAGGUUUAAAUUUCGUAGGAGUGUGUGUUUGGGUGGUGGGAAAGUUGGGAGGAAAGAAACGGAUUGGUUUCAGUUGAUUGAAGACCAUUUGAGAUUUGAAUAAUGUUUUGGAUGGGGCUGUGUGAAUUAUUUUGUAUUUGAUGCAGUUUUAAAGUUUUGAUUGCUUUGCUGCAUCUUGUUAUCCUAUUGUUUACUGAUGAAUGAUUAAAAAAAAAAAGAAUUUUUAUUCCAGUUUCAUAUCUACAUAAAAAAUCAUUAUGAAAAAUUAAGGCCAAUUCGAUCAUUUAUAAUCAUUUUACAAUAUAAGGCUCAAAGCUCUCUGCUUGUGAUAUUUUAAGAUCAUUUUACCAUUGCAAUUGACAGUCUAAUCUUUUUUCUUAAAGUCCUGUUUUAUAAUUUAUUAUUAUGAUAUAAAGGAUACUUUUGUAAUUUCAAUAGUCUGUUAGUAGUCAAAUUAACUGAAUACUAACGACAAACGACUAGGGAGGUACUUGUAAUUACUUGGAUACAUUCUCUCUAUGUGUUAAUACGCUAAAUCUCAAAAGAGGUUCGUAAAAAUUACCCAAACAGCAACACCAGUAACUCUCUUACGCUCUCCUUUAAUAAGGGUUAAGCUAAGCUAACAGCUUUUCCAAAGAUGGCAGAAAAGAACAAAAUCCAAAUUCCAACAGUGAUAUUUGGAUUUCCGAUUUGCAGUUUCAAUUUUUUUUUUCUGUUUUUUUUUUCCUUUAAUGCUGAUAAUUCGUUUUCUCUAAUGAUGGCCAGUGGGCCGUGCCGGCACCAAACGUCGGCCCACACAGGCUCGUUGGCUGGCACCGCACGCCCCACUAAUUUGGUGGGCCGUGCCCACUUUUUUUAUAAGAGCCCGGCACAGCCCACCAACCUCUUUUUUUUUUUUUUUUGUCCACAUGUCCAACAUACUUAAAAAAACUUACGUGUCUGGCGUAUUUUAUUCAAGAGCACGUGUCCGGCAUACUUUUUUAAGUCCACCAGCCUAAUAAUAAUAAUAAUAAUAAUAAUUUCAUAAAUCAUAAUAAUAAUUAAUUAAAAAUAAAAUUACAAUUUUAGAAUAACAAUUACAUCUAAUUUUAUUUGAACUACUAAUAUUAUAAUUGCACAUAAACUCCAUUGAAUGAAAAUGUAAUUUUUAAUUUAUCAUAAAAAUAUUUUGUUCAUAAUUUUAUUUUUUUGUGUAUAAAUAUGAAAAAUAUUUCAUUCACAAAUGAAACAUAUCUCCAUUAACUAUUAACUAAGUUAUGAUUUCAUAAAUGAAAUAUUAAUGUCGUAAAAUUUUUUAUUUAUCAUUUAUAAAAUCAUGAUAUUUAUUUAUCCAUUUAAUAAAUUAUAAACAUAAAAAAAAUUAGAAUAUUUAUUUAAACUAGGACUUAAAUUAAUUUUAAAAAGCCUAUGCUAAAAAAAUAUAUUAAAAUUUUAAUUUCAAGAUAUUUAUAAAAUCAUGAUAUUUUAUAUUUAUUUUUCAUUAAAAUUUUUUAUUUUGAUAUAUUUUGACCCACAUGCUAUUGGUGGCCCACGGGCCGCGUGCUUAGCCCACUAAUGAAGCGUGCUUAUUACGUGCCUUUUCGCGUACCGUGCUUUGGCCCAUAUUUAAUCGUGCUGUGCUUUUAAGGCCCGCGUGCCUAAAAUUCUAGGCUCGGCACGGCCCACGUGCGUGUCAUGCCGUGCCUCGUGCCCUACCGAAACGUGCUCGUGUUGUGCCGUGCCUUGUGCCGCCCGGCCCAUUGGUCAUCUCUAAUUUUCUCUGACUGUGUUUUUUUGCUUUCACAGGUUUCAAAGCUGGAGUUUGAAUGCAUGAGCCUAAGUGGAGGUUACAGUUCUCUAGUCUCUGAAGAGGAUGGCAUCUCAAUAAGAAAGCAUGCUUUCAACAAAGGAAUCACUCUUUUUUUUUUUUUUUAACUAAUUAAGCAUCAUGUUACUGUAUUACAUAGACAUUUACAAUUGCUAUGACAGUAGAUCAUUAUACUGAUAUUUACAAUUAAAUAUAUAAUUGGGACUUAUAUUAUUACAUUAUUAAUUUUAUGAAAUACAUGCCAGACAAAUAAUCCUCACGAAAGAAUGAUGUCUUUACUCCACUCGCAUUUCAGAAGGGAGAAAUACUUCACAAAUAAUUUUCACAAAAUUAUGUUUAAUUGAGAGAGGUUGAGUUCAUGGAGACUCGAACCAUUGCCCUCAUAGUCAUGCUUAACUUUAAGGCCAAUGGUUCACCACUAGGCUAAAGCCUAAGUGGCAGGAACCACUUUCUUUGAUACUGCUUAGUGCUGAUAGAUAUGGACCUUACACUAACGAAAUUCUUCUUAGAAAGUUAAUAAUUAUGAAAAUGGCAUAAAAUGAAAUUAUCUUAUCAUGGAAUAACAUUUUAAAAGAAAAUCCAAAAUCCAAAUAGGUUAUAUUUAUGUUAAAAUUCUAAAUAAAAAAAAUCAUAAAUUAGUAACUAAAUUAACUUAAUAAGAAUAACAUUGUCGUAUUACACAAAAAAAAAAAUCAUUUUGAUGAAUAUUUAAUGUUUGUAAAAUAAAUUAAAUUGAUUAGGGUAAUAUGGACUUUUUAUUAUAAAAUAACCUAAAUUGUUAGGGAAAUAAUUAACUGUAGCAUUGUUAAAUUUAAAGGGGAAAGUAGUAUUUCUAACUUAUUGAGUUAUUUCCAUAAUAAUAACCUAAAUAUGUUUGUUUAAGGUUUUGGCAAAUAGCUACUCUUAGACAUUACUAAGAAUAUCUGAAGAUGAAAAUCAAAUCACUGUUAAAAUUACCCCUGAGAAGCCACGAAGUUUGGGACUACAGAAAUAGAUACCCCUGAGUAUGUGCUCUGCCUUGUUGUGAAGCAAGCUUGAAGCACCUUGAUUUGAUUAUUAAUUGGCUUGACUUCCCUCUAAUUUUGGAUAAUUUCCUUAUAUGCUUUUCACUAAAAACAAAUAAAUUUACAAAGAAUACAUGCAUAGAUAACUUUCUUUCAAAUUUAAAAUGAAAAAUAAAUUGCGAAAAGAAAUUGUGAAUCUGAUGAUUCUUUUAAUAAAAAAAUUUACUGAUUAUAUGGUCAAAUCGAGACUGUAAAUUUCUCUCCUAAGUUCUACCUGACAUUUUGCAAAGUCUAGGGGAUAUUUCUUAACUUUUAAAAUAUUUUGAACUUGUUUCCAAUUACACUGAACUUUGGGACACUUGUCAAAACUUUAUAAGUUCAUGAUUAAUCAUGAUAAAGAUAAAGAGCACGUGUCCCAGCUUAACACUUUUAGUCAUACGGAGCCUUCGACUUGGAGCCAAACCAGAAUCCUCUGUCUCAUUCUGCUCAUUGUUGACGUUAGAGUCAACUGUCUCUCUACUUAUUGAAACUUGAAAGACACCCAAAACAAAGAAACCAAAACUACAGCUUCAAAAAUGGCAGAAGAGAAACUCCAAGUUCCAAGAGUGAAACUUGGUACCCAAGGCCUCGAGGUAAACUACCCAUAUGUAAUUUUUUUUUUAAAAUCAAAUCCUGGAAAUUUGUUUUUCAUGGUCUUACAGGUUUCAAAGUUGGGGCUUGGAUGCAUGAACCUGAGUUCUGGUUAUAGCUCUCCAGUCUCAGAAGAGGAUGGCAUCUCCAUGAUAAAACAUGCUUUCAGUAAAGGAAUCACUUUCUUUGAUACUGCUGAUGUGUACGGACAAAAUGCUAAUGAAACUCUUCUGGGAAAGGUUAUGGUCAUUUCUUUGAAUUCUCUUACUUCUUAUAUAAUUCAGACAUAGGUCAAGUGGUAACUUAGGAACCACAGUCCUGAUGAAAUAUGUUUGUUUAGGAAUUGGUGAAUAAUUACUUUUGUAUCAUAGAAGGGAAACCUUGUCAGAAUUUUUAGAAUUUUAUUGAAUUAAAAAAAAAAAAAAAGAGUACUCCUUCGAUUUCAGGCCUUCAAGAUGUUGCCCAGAGAAAAGGUACAAAUAGCCACAAAGUUUGGGGUUGUAGGACUAAGAGAUAAUGGCGUGAUCGUGAAGGGCACCCCUGAUUACGUGCGCUCGUGUUGUGAAGCUAGCUUGAAGCGACUUGAUGUGGAUUACAUUGAUUUGUAUUAUCAACAUAGAGUGGACAUCGGUCCCUAUCGAGGAAACCAUGAGUGAUAUUUUUUCUCCCGGGCUAACUAUCUGAAUCGUAAAGUUCUGUCUUAAAUUACAAUAUUUAAAGAGUUUUUUAGAAACUAUAUUCCUUGUCAUGUUAUAGAUUGGCGAAAUGAAGAAGCUGGUGGAGGAGGGUAAAAUCAAGUACAUUGGUUUGUCUGAGGCUAGCCCAGACACAAUUAGGAGAGCACAUGGUGUUCAUCCCAUCACAGCUGUACAAAUGGAAUGGUCCCUCUGGACUCGUGAUAUCGAGGAAGAGAUAAUACCCCUCUGCAGGUUUGUUCUUCUUUCAGUGAACACUAUCCACAUUAGUCUUCUCUUUUACAGUCCUUUGAAGAGUGUCUAAGGACCUAUUUACCUUUUCCAAUCUAGUAUUUUGUGUCUAAUGUCUGUAGAAUUUUAAAAAAAAUAAUUGCUUGCUUAGAAUAGAUUAGAUUUUCUGUGCAAGUAUAUGCUAAUAUAUACAAGGCUGCUUUUCUUAUACAUUGAAGUGGGCAGGGAACUUGGCAUUGGAAUUGUUCCAUACAGCCCUCUUGGUCGUGGGUUUUUCGGUGGCAAAGCUGUUGUGGAAAGUGUACCCGCAGAUAGCGUUUUGGUACUUUUUUCAUAAAUGUUUAUCCACAUCAAUUUGUUUCCUAUGUAGUGUAUAAAUGUUUUAAAAUAGCAACAGUAGUUUCCAGUUUCCUUUAAUGCUAAUGUUUUAUAUAUCAUAAUACAUAUUAAAAUGAUGCAUAUGUUUGUUUUAUAAGCAUUUUUUUCCUCGGUACAAAGGAGAGAACCUGGACAGGAACAAGAAUAUUUAUUUUCGCAUAGAGAAUCUUGCCAAAAAGUACAAAUGCACUUCUGCUCAACUAGCCCUAGCAUGGGUUCUUGGACAGGGGGAUGAUGUCGUACCUAUUCCUGGUAACUUACUUUCUUUUGAGUUUGUGAUUCAUGUAGUGCCUUGAAGAAGUAUAUAGAGUUUAAAAAACCCAGCUGAUAAAAAUGAUAUUACCAGCAAUGUUACUUACUGUUAAUUUGCUUCAAUUUUCAGGGACAACUAAGAUUAAAAACCUUGAUGACAAUAUUGACUCCUUGAGGAUUAAACUUACAAAAGAGGAUGUGAAAGAAAUUUCUGACGCUGUGCCCAUAGAAGAGGUAGCAGGAGACAGAGACCCGGAAGGCUUUGAUAAAGCAUCGUGGAAGUUUGCAAGCACACCUCCAAAAGACUGCAAGGUUUGAACUUGAAAUAGUUCUGGAUGCUGCCUAUCUUACUUGGGGCUGGGAUGCAAUACUUUAUUCAAACAAUGGCAGAUAAAUGCCAAAUUAUCUGUACAAUCUACUACAUGGCUUUCUGCGUAUUUGAUGUUAAACUUUAGUCAUUAUGAUAUACCGUAUGUUUGGAAAUUUAGCAUGGCCAAUUUGUGAAAUGAGAAUUUCAAGUUUCAAUUUUGUUAAGUUACGACCUGAAUUCAAAGUUGCUAUAAAAUUUUCCCAACUCUGUUUCUUGGAAGAUAAAGAUUGUAAGUAUCAAAAUUUGGAUUUGAUAGACAAUUU